GCCUGGGUAGCUCAGUUGGUUGAGCGUCUGACUUCAGCUCAGGUCAUGAUCCCACAGUUCAUGGGUUUGAGCCCUGCUUUGGGCU
rnacentral:tRNA from 1 species